AAAGGAUAAAAGCCCUCAGAACUGACAAUGGUUUAGAAUAUCUAGGAAAGGAGUUCACAAAUGAAUUGGAAAACUGUGGUAUUCGCAGGGAAUUUACAACUCCCCAUACACCUCAGCAUAUAGAUGGCGAGCGAGAACUCACGUUGUUAUUUUCAACACCCCCUCUCAACGGAAUUCGAGCGCUCGUCAAACCAAUAGUCUCUAGAGACACUGGUGACGAUCUAACAGGAUAUACCGACUCCGACUGGGGAGGUGAUAUUGUCGAUAGGAAAUCUAGAACUGGCUUCAUAUUCAAAUUAUCAAAUAGUGCCAUAUCAUGGGAAUCUAGAAAACAAAAAAGUGUGGCGAUUUC
rnacentral:misc_RNA from 1 species